AAGACAGGUUCUCACUUUGUUGCCCAGGCUAGAUAGCAGUGGCAUGAUCUUGGGUGACUGCAACCUUUGCCUUCUGGGCUGAAGCGAUCCUCCCACCUCAGACUGCUGAGUAGCUGGGACCACAGACAUGCGCCACCACAUCUGGCUAAUCUGGCUAAUUUUUGUAUUUUUUAUAGAGACGGGGUUUUGCCAUGUUGCCCUAGCUGGUCUCGAACUCCUGGGUUCAAGUGAUCCACCUGCCUCGGCCUCCCAAAGUGCUGGGAUUACAGGCAUGAGCCACCUUGCCCAGCUGCUCUUGCUUGUGCUAUUUACAGUGUUAUAUAUGAGUAGCUGAAGAGGGACAAGUGUCCAUAUGCCCAGAGCAAUACUGACAAGAAAUACUUGAGAGACAGUGCUUGCCAAUUUUGUACUUGGAACCCUUUUUGUUUGUUUAACAACCUAUAAAUUACCAGAGGCAGCCUGAUAUAAUUAAAAAGGGUCUUGAAGUCAGGAGAGGUAGCUUCCAAAUCCAACCUACCCUAGCAGAAGGACAUUUGAGCAAGUCAGUUAGUAUAUCCAAGCUAUAACUUCCUCAUCUCUAAAAUGGAGUAAAAAUAAUGGUACCCUCAUAGGCAGUAAGUGUAAGUUUACUAAAGCAACA
rnacentral:lncRNA from 1 species